ensembl:piRNA 21ur-11707 ncRNA
UAUAAUCACUGUAUCUUUUUU